UACUUAAUUGAUUCUACUAGUAAUUAUAUAUUUGUUUUAAAAAUUAAACUAUAUAUAUUUAAAUUUAAGUAAUUAAACUAUAAAAUUACAAAUGGCUUAUUAAAUUAAUUAUAGUUUAUUUAAUAGUAUUUUAUUAUAUGGAUAACUGUAGUAAUUUUAGAGUUAAUAUAUAUUAAAAACCCCGAUUUUGGAAGGGGUAUAUUUAUUAAAUUAAAAACCAAUACCCUUCGGGGUUAAUUAGUAAUUUAUAAUAAUUUUUCAAAUUAUAUAACCUUAUAUUAGCGAUGGUUUAUUUAAAUUUUUACCCUAUUAACUUUCAACGGCUAGGUCUUAAUUAACUAUAGUAAUAAUAGGUAACGGAGGGUUAGGGUUCGACCCCGGAGAAGGAAUUUAAGAAACGGUUACUAUAUUUAAGGAAGGUAGUAGGCGUAUAAAUUACCCAAUCCCGAUAUAGGGAGGUAAUAAUAAUAAAUAUUAAUAUAAGGCUCUUUUGGGUCUUGUAAUUAGAAUAAAUAUAAUUUAAAUCCCUUAAUAAGGAAUAAUUGGAGGGUAAAUCUAGUACUAGUAGCCGCGGUAAUUCUAAUUCUAAUAGUAUAUAUUAAAAUUAUUAAAGUUAAAAAGCUUAUAGUUAAACCUUAGGCUUAGCUUAUCGAUCCGCCUUACUACGUAUAUUAACUAGGUUAGGCCUUUUUUCCUAGAGAACCGUAUACCCUUUACUAAGUAUAUUAGGGAAUUAGGACUUUUACUAUAAAUAAAUUAAAUUACUUAAAGAAAGCCUAUAUUCGAAUAUACUAAUAUAGAAUAAUAGAAUAGAAUAUAUAGUUCUAUUUUAUUAAUUUCUAGGACCGCUAUAAUAAUUAAUAAGGAUAGUCGAGGGUAUUAGUAUUUAAUUAUUAGAAGUAAAAUUUUUAGAUUUAUUAAAGAUUAAUUAUUACGAAAGUAUUUACUAAAAAUAUUUUUAUUAAUUAAGAAUAAAAGUUAGGGGAUCGAAAAUAAUUAAAUACUAUUGUAGUUUUAAUUAUAAAUUAUACCAAUUAGAGAUUAGACGGUAUUAUUUUUUAACCCAUUCGGCACCUUAUAAUAAAUUAAAAUAUUUAGGCUCUUAAGGGAAUAUAAUUGUAAGGCUAAAAUUUAAAGAAAUUAAUAGAAGGGUACUACUAAGGGUAGAGCCUACAGCUUAAUUUAACUCAAUACAGAGAAACUUACUAAGUUUAAAUAUAAUAAAAAUUAAUAAAUUGAAAGCUCUUUCUUAAUUUUAUAGGUAGUAAUACAUAGCCGUUCUUAAUUAGUAAAGUAAUUUAUCUAUUUAAUUAUAAUAACGAAUAAGACUUUAACUUAUUAAAUAGCCUAUAUUACUUUAGUAGUAUAUUAGCUUCUUAGAAGGACUAUUAAUUUAAAUUAAUAAAAGUUUGAAGUAAUAAUAAGUUUGUAAUACCCUUAAAUAUUCUAAGCUGUAUAUACGCUAUAUUAAUACAAUUAGCGAAUAUUCCCUUAGCCGGAAGGUCCGGGUAAUUUUAUUAAAUUGUAUUAUACUAGGGAUAGAGUAUUGUAAUUAUUACUCUUCAACGAAGAAUCCCUAAUAAGUGUAAAUUAUUAAUUUAUAUUAAUUACGUCCCUGCCCUUUAUAUAUAUUACCCGUCGCUAUUACCGAUUAAAUAGUUUAGUAAAGCUUCUAGAUUAAUUUAGGGAGGUCGGUAACAACUACUUAGGGCCGGAAAAUUAUUUAAAUUCGGUUAUUUAGAGGAAGUAAAAAUUAUAAUAAAGUUUCUAUUAGUAAAUUAGCGGAGGGAUUAUUA
rfam:Neurospora crassa OR74A unplaced genomic scaffold supercont12.8, whole genome shotgun sequence.